UUUAGACAUCAGCCAUUUGUUUCUCGCGCCAAUUCAAUCCAAGAAAAUGUGGAUGACAAUGCUGACAGUCCUCUCUCUCUUAAUCUCCACUACCUUCGGAGAAUUCACCUCCGACAAUGCUAAUCUACGGCUCCGAUUACCGGGAGAAACCUUAUGCAGUCAACUCAUCGAACCUGCCGGUUACCCUUGCACAGAACACACUAUACAAACGAAGGAUGGUUACUUACUAGCUCUUCAACGUGUUUCAUCUCGUAAUGGGAAUAUAAGGCUCCAACGUGGCCCUCCUGUUUUGCUUCAACAUGGACUCUUUAUGGCAGGUGAUGCAUGGUUUUUGGACUCUCCGGAGCAGUCAUUAGGUUACAUCCUUGCAGAUCAGGGCUUUGAUGUAUGGGUUGGAAACGUACGUGGGACAUUUUGGAGUUAUGGGCAUGUAUCAUUGUCAGAGAAAGAAAAGGAAUUUUGGGAUUGGAGCUGGCAGGAAUUGGCUCUAUAUGACCUUUCAGAAAUGAUUCACCACAUAUAUUCAAAAACAAAUUCCAAAACUUUUGUUGUUGGACAUUCCCAGGGGACAAUCAUGUCUCUGGCUGCCCUCACUCAGCCAAAUAUAGUGGAAAUGGUUGAAGCUGCUGCUCUUUUGUGUCCAAUAUCAUACCUGGAACAUAUAAGUGCUCCACUUGUACUUCGAAUGGUUGGCUUACAUCUUGAUCAGAUGGUUCUUGCCAUAGGCAUACAUGAAUUGAACUUUAGAAGUAAAGUGUUGAUUAACCUCUUGGAUUCCAUAUGCGAUGGUCAUGUAGAAUGUGAUGACUUCUUAACUUCUAUGACAGGUCAUCUCUCCCCCUAUACAAUGUUCAUUUUUCCAUGCUGCUGGUGAAUUUAUUCUCUAUUUUGCACUUUAUUCAAUAUUGUUGAGGAAAGAGCAAAGCACUCUAAUUUGGAUAUCUGUUAAAUUGGAAAAUGUUCUGUUGUCUGAUUUAAGGACAAUAUUAAUUUGAACUAUGCUGUAAGAUUUGGCUGUAUCUUUCACUUUAGCAGUCAUGAAUGAUAAUUUUGGUGGAGACCAUGGUUUCUAAAUGUAACCAGCUUGAGUAAAUCUGGUUUGGUGCUUUCUCAAGUUACAAUUAUUUUCAGACACAUGAUACUAUCUAAAUCCAGAAAUGGUUUUUGUAGUUUCAGACUGGGGUCCUGUGGGACAAAUUAAAGCCCUACGCAUGGUUAUUGAGAGUUGAUGAUUGAAAAGAAAAUGUUCAUUGGUUCUAUUUAAUAUAAUUGGGACCCCUUUUCAAUCAAAUUAUGUUAGUCAUAUGAUUUUUGCAUAUAUUAAAAACUGUCGUUGAUGAUAUUAUGAGUUUGUAUUCAUGAACUCACUGGGCAAAUUGUUCUUCUUUGGUGGUUCACAACUGUUCCUGUCAGUUUGGUCUGAGUCUUGCAUUUCUAACUUGGAAUUGCUUCUUUGUGCCAUCCUGUCCAAAUAAUUUUUUGCUAGUGCUCUGUUAUGAUUUUCAGCAUAAUGAUCCGAGGGUUCCUAAGAUUGUUCUUAGUAGUAUUUGGUUUGCCACUUGUAGAGAUAAGAAUUCUUUUAAUUGAAGAUCUCUCAUGGAGUUCCAUGUUAGGUUCCUUUUCAACAGAACCUUAAGUCUCCAUAACAUUAUUGAGAACUAGAUGUGUUAUAAUUUCAUUUUGCAGGGCUAACAGAUGCUAAUAGUGGUGUACAAUGUUUAUGGCUGCG
rnacentral:misc_RNA from 1 species